UCGUAUUCUUUACAAAAACCCCUUUUAUAGGGUCAGAAAAAUGAAACAACGAGAAGAAAAAUCUGUAAAAUGAGAAACCUUAGCAGCUUGACGUUUAGCUCUCUGAAUCGGAUGGUCACCAAUCCCUGCCUCUUCGAUCUCUUCUUCAAGCCCUCCGAUCAACUUGAACUCCGGUCAGCUCCUCAUCUUCUUCGGUCAGCUUACUUGCACAAACCCCUUUCUUUGGCGUAGGAGCCCUAGCUCGACGACACUUUCUCUAAAUGAAUUCAUCAAGAGCUUGUUUGUGUCAAAUGAGUUGCUGGAACAAUGACCCCAAAAAACUACAGCUGAAACGCACCGUUUCACUUAAACUGCAGUCCAAGUCCAGCCACGUUUGCAACAUUCCCAUUUGCUAUCAAUUAGCUCAAGGCAGCAACCGAAAUCUUCACUUGCAGCACCCCAUUUCAACGUUUGUAGGGCUCAGCUGUUGCGUUUCACUUAGUGAGAAUUCAGCCCAAGUUCAAC
rnacentral:lncRNA from 1 species